GACGAACGCUGGCGGCGUGCUUAACACAUGCAAGUCGAGCGAGGCCCCUCCUUCGGGAGGGUGUCCUAGCGGCGAACGGGUGAGUAACACGUGGGCAACCUGCCCUCAGCUCUGGGAUAACUCCGGGAAACCGGGGCUAAUACCGGAUACGACCUCCACGGGCAUCUGCGGAGGUGGAAAGUUUUUCGGCUGAGGAUGGGCCCGCGGCCUAUCAGCUAGUUGGUGGGGUAGUGGCCCACCAAGGCGACGACGGGUAGCCGGCCUGAGAGGGCGACCGGCCACACUGGGACUGAGGCACGGCCCAGACUCCUACGGGAGGCAGCAGUGGGGAAUAUUGCGCAGUGGGCGAAAGCCUGACGCAGCGACGCCGCGUGAGGGACGAAGGCCUUCGGGUUGUAAACCUCUUUCAGCAGGGACGAAGCGAAAGUGACGGUACCUGCAGAAGAAGCACCGGCCAACUACGUG
rnacentral:rRNA from 1 species